rnacentral:lncRNA from 1 species
CCUGAUUGGCUGGUUCGCACGCACUUCCAUUUUAUUUUUUGUUUUUAUUAUUUAUUUGUUUCAGUGUAUUUAUUGACCCAACUGGGCGCUUGGCCCAGUGGGAGAGGGGGUUGAUCCCCCCAUGACCCUAAGGUCAUGGGUUCAACCCCCACCGUGUGAAAAUCUGUUUUAUUUUGUUUAUUUCAUUUUAUUAUUUUUAUUCACAUUUAUUUCCAUUUUAUUUUUAUUUUUUU